rnacentral:lncRNA from 1 species
GGGCUCACAUGCAAUAUCAAAACCAUAAGAAAAAUAUAUAGACACAUAGAAAAAUGUAGACUCGGGUGUAAAUAACACAGAAGUAGAUCUAUAUAAAAUUUGGAUAAUACAUGUAAUAACUACAUCAAAAGCCUCUACCUUAGGUCUCCUAAGUAUAGCAUAGCACUGACCACAUCUAUUUCUGAACUAAGUUACCCCAUGGCCA